rnacentral:rRNA from 1 species
UACGUAGGGUGCGAGCGUUGUCCGGAAUUAUUGGGCGUAAAGGGCUCGUAGGCGGUUUGUCGCGUCGGGAGUGAAAAUCCAGGGCUUAACUCUGGACUGGCUUCCGAUACGGGCAGACUAGAGGUAUGCAGGGGAGAACGGAAUUCCUGGUGUAGCGGUGAAAUGCGCAGAUAUCAGGAGGAACACCGAUGGCGAAGGCAGGUCUCUGGGCAUUACCUGACGCUGAGGAGCGAAAGCAUGGGGAGCGAACAGG